rnacentral:rRNA from 1 species
GAGUUUGAUCAUGGCUCAGAUUGAACGCUGGCGGCAGGCCUAACACAUGCAAGUCGAACGGUAACAGGAAGCAGCUUGCUGCUUCGCUGACGAGUGGCGGACGGGUGAGUAAUGUCUGGGAAGCUGCCUGAUGGAGGGGGAUAACUACUGGAAACGGUAGCUAAUACCGCAUAAUGUCGCAAGACCAAAGAGGGGGACCUUCGGGCCUCUUGCCAUCGGAUGUGCCCAGAUGGGAUUAGCUUGUUGGUGGGGUAACGGCUCACCAAGGCGACGAUCCCAAGCUGGUCUGAGAGGAUGACCAGCCACACUGGAACUGAGACACGGUCCAGACUCCUACGGGAGGCAGCAGUGGGGAAUAUUGCACAAUGGGCGCAAGCCUGAUGCAGCCAUGCCGCGUGCAUGAAGAAGGCCUUCGGGUUGUAAAGUACUUUCAGCGGGGAGGAAGGGAGUAAAGUUAAUACCUUUGCUCUUUGACGUUACCCGCAGAAGAAGCACCGGCUAACUCCGUGCCAGCAGCCGCGGUAAUACGGAGGGUGCAAGCGUUAAUCGGAAUUACUGGGCGUAAAGCGCACGCAGGCGGUUUGUUUAGUCAGAUGUGAAAUCCCCGGGCUCAACCUGGGAACUGCAUCUGAUACUGGCAAGCUUGAGUCUCGUAGAGGGGGGUAGAAUUCCAGGUGUAGCGGUGAAAUGCGUAGAGAUCUGGAGGAAUACCGGUGGCGAAGGCGGCCCCCUGGACGAAGACUGACGCUCAGGUGCGAAAGCGUGGGGAGCAAACAGGAUUAGAUACCCUGGUAGUCCACGCCGUAAACGAUGUCGACUUGGAGGUUGUGCCCUUGAGGCGUGGCUUCCGGAGCUAACGCGUUAAGUCGACCGCCUGGGGAGUACGGCCGCAAGGUUAAAACUCAAAUGAAUUGACGGGGGCCCGCACAAGCGGUGGAGCAUGUGGUUUAAUUCGAUGCAACGCGAAGAACCUUACCUGGUCUUGACAUCCACGGAAGUUUUCAGAGAUGAGAAUGUGCCCUCGGGAACCGUGAGACAGGUGCUGCAUGGCUGUCGUCAGCUCGUGUUGUGAAAUGUUGGGUUAAGUCCCGCAACGAGCGCAACCCUUAUCCUUUGUUGCCAGCGGUCCGGCCGGGAACUCAAAGGAGACUGCCAGUGAUAAACUGGAGGAAGGUGGGGAUGACGUCAAGUCAUCAUGGCCCUUACGACCAGGGCUACACACGUGCUACAAUGGCGCAUACAAAGAGAAGCGACCUCGCGAGAGCAAGCGGACCUCAUAAAGUGCGUCGUAGUCCGGAUUGGAGUCUGCAACUCGACUCCAUGAAGUCGGAAUCGUUAGUAAUCGUGGAUCAGAAUGCCACGGUGAAUACGUUCCCGGGCCUUGUACACACCGCCCGUCACACCAUGGGAGUGGGUUGCAAAAGAAGUAGGUAGCUUAACCUUCGGGAGGGCGCUUACCACUUUGUGAUUCAUGACUGGGGUGAAGUCGUAACAAGGUA